AUGAAAUGUAUCUGAAUGUCAUUUAUUGGGACUUAACUGGCCCUCUAAACUUAUACAACUUUCAGCAACGGAUCUCUUGGCUCUCGCAUCGAUGAAGAACGCAGCGAAAUGCGAUAAGUAAUGUGAAUUGCAGAAUUCAGUGAAUCAUCGAAUCUUUGAACGCACCUUGCGCCCCUUGGUAUUCCGAGGGGCAUGCCUGUUUGAGUGUCAUUAAAUUCUCAACCUCACAAGUUUUGUAGUUUUUGAGGCUUGGAUUGGGGAGGCUUGCGGGCAUUUAAGAUCCAUUUGGCUCCUUUUAAAAGCAUUAGUAGAAACCAAUUGUUGGACUACCUUUGGUGUGAUAAUUAUAUACGCCUGGGUGUUCUAUGUCACAAAAGGGUCUCUUUGGUUGGGAUAGUCGCAAACGAGAGUUUGCUCUGUCUGUUUUAACUGUCAAAGAGGCUUUGGGGUUUUUGCUCUUUAACUGUCUGUUUGACGGACAACUAAUCGAUUUGUUGACCUCAAAUCAGGUAG
rnacentral:rRNA from 1 species